rnacentral:rRNA from 1 species
UAGGGAAUCUUCGGCAAUGGACGAAAGUCUGACCGAGCAACGCCGCGUGAGUGAAGAAGGUUUUCGGAUCGUAAAACUCUGUUGUUAGAGAAGAAUGACAUUGAGAGUAACUGUUCAAUGUGUGACGGUAUCUUACCAGAAAGGAACGGCUAAAUACGUGCCAG